GACGAACGCUGGCGGCGUGCCUAAUACAUGCAAGUAGAACGCAGUUGCGAACGGGGGAGUAACGCGUGUAUAACUGCCUGGUAGAGGGGGGUAACUAUUGGAAACGAUAGCUCAUACCGCAUACUCUCAGAUGGACCUGCGUUGUAUUAGCUCGUUGGUGGGGUAACGGCUCACCAAGGCAACGAUACAUAGCCGACCUGAGAGGGGGAUCGGCCACACGGGGACUGAGACACGGCCCAGACUCCUACGGGAGGCAGCAGUAGGGAAUCUUCGGCAAUGGACGGAAGUCUGACCGAGCAACGCCGCGUGAGUGAAGAAGGUUUUCGGAUCGUAAAGCUCUGUUGUAAGAGAAGCGGUAUCUUACCAGAAAGGGACGGCUAACUACGUGCCAGCAGCCGCGGUAAUAC
rnacentral:rRNA from 1 species